rnacentral:rRNA from 1 species
UACGUAGGGUGCGAGCGUUGUCCGGAAUUAUUGGGCGUAAAGAGCUCGUAGGCGGUUCGUCGCGUCGGCUGUGAAAACCCGGAGCUCAACUCCGGGCCUGCAGUCGAUACGGGCGGACUUGAGUGUUGCAGGGGAGACUGGAAUUCCUGGUGUAGCGGUGAAAUGCGCAGAUAUCAGGAGGAACACCCGUAGCGAAGGCGGCACUCUGGGCCGAUACUGACACUGAGGAGCGAAAGCGUGGGGAGCGAACAGG